ACCAGAAACAAACACAAACAGUAAAAGGCAACAAACUCAGAGUGCAAAUGUCUUGAUAUCAAAAUCAUAGGCUGACCUGAUGCUCUCUUAGGAUGAAAUGUGUCUUCCCCUCUCCAAGGUAGGCCCUUGGGACACACUGAGCACAGAGCUGGAGUUCUAGUGUCAUCACCCCACAUCUUUGGUGUCUAAAGGGAACAGGUGCCUAAACCCAAAAAAAUGAACAGAGAGAUUCAGACAAACAAAUCCAGUAAAACAACGUGUAUUUUCACAUUUAAAAUGGAGCAGUCCUGCAGCUAGUAUAUAUGAAAGAUCAAUAUUGUUCUUACCUUACGCCCACACCAAGUCAUUCAAGAGAAAUGAGGAGCAGUAAUGCAUCCUCAGACCUUCCUGCCACUACUCAAAGUAAAUGGCAGGACAUAAUGGGCAACUCUAAUACAGCGUAAAGUAACGACUUGCAGAAAUGUAUUUCAUAUAAUUUGGUAUAGGAGGGGGUCGUCGGUCCAUCCCUCCCUCCCAGCCUUUUAAAAGCUAUAGCAGCCAGAGCAGGUGUUACAACCUGGCUGCUAAGGACGACCCCCUCAUCUUAAAAUAUAAUUUGUUUAUAAUAUUUCAUUAGUUCAUAAUAGUUUCAGUGGCAGUUUUUAUUUCUUUUAAAUUAGCUUGUUUUUAAUUUGUCUCACUGUAUAUUUUAAUUUUUUUUUUUUUAAAUGCUACUAAUAAUGUUCUGACCUUUGCAUCAUUUUACUUCACUGUAUUUUUCAGAAAUGUAUUAAAGUUUUAUAUAUUGUCUUUAAUCUCACAUUGUACAGUGACUAGAAAGUAUUUGCAGGUAUGUUUUUCUUUGGUAUAGGAGGGUCGUCUGACCAUCCCUCCCUCCCAGCCAUUUAAAAGCUAGAGCAGCCAGAGCAGGUGUUACAGCCUGGCUGCUGAGGACGACCCCCCCCAUCUUAAAAUAUACUAUUUUUACAACGUUUCGUUAGGUGAUCGAUUAGGAAACCAAUAAUUAAAACUCUUCUCUUAAAUCGCAACGUGUAAACCGACAGUAAUGGACGCAAUAAUUUUUUUUCCCUUAACUUUGCACCAAGUUCUCGAUUUUAAACCAGCCAGUUCUCUUUAGGGUUUUUCUAAAGUGAGCACGCAGUAGACAGGAUGGUGGUAACUGUAGUAUGUCCGCAGCACGCCAGAAUGGAUACAGGACUGUGGGCAAGAGAUGAAAAUGGGGUCAAGCAGCGUGUUCUUCUCUGUGGUUGCAGCAGUUAUGAGUUGUUCAUAACCUUUCGACUGAAACAGUUCAAGAAUGGGCUUCCUUGCUCCGGACAGCAAAUCUUCAUUAAAAUCUCCACAGACUAAGAUGGGAUGAUGAUCCAUGACUUCAAGUGAAUCCAAG